rnacentral:rRNA from 1 species
UACGUAGGGGGGCAAGCGUUGUCCGGAAUUAUUGGGCGUAAAGAGCGCGUAGGCGGUCCGGUAAGUCGGCUGUGAAAGUCAAGGGCUCAACCCUUGAAAGCCGGCUGAUACUGUCGGACUAGAGUCCGGAAGAGGCGAGUGGAAUUCCCGGUGUAGCGGUGAAAUGCGCAGAUAUCGGGAGGAACACCAGUGGCGAAGGCGGCUCACUGGCCCGAUACUGACGCUGAGGUGCGAAAGCG